rnacentral:rRNA from 1 species
GUGAAUUCAUCUCCGGGGGUAGAGCACUGUUUCGGCAAGGGGGUCAUCCCGACUUACCAACCCGAUGCAAACUGCGAAUACCGGAGAAUGUUAUCACGGGAGACACACGGCGGGUGCUAACGUCCGUCGUGAAGAGGGAAACAACCCAGACCGCCAGCUAAGGUCCCAAAGUCAUGGUUAAGUGGGAAACGAUGUGGGAAGGCCCAGACAGCCAGGAUGUUGGCUUAGAAGCAGCCAUCAUUUAAAGAAAGCGUAAUAGCUCACUGGUCGAGUCGGCCUGCGCGGAAGAUGUAACGGGGCUAAACCAUGCACCGAAGCUGCGGCAGCGACGCUGAUGCGUUGUUGGGUAGGGGAGCGUUCUGUAAGCCUGUGAAGGUGUGCUGUGAGGCAUGCUGGAGGUAUCAGAAGUGCGAAUGCUGACAUAAGUAACGAUAAAGCGGGUGAAAAGCCCGCUCGCCGGAAGACCAAGGGUUCCUGUCCAACGUUAAUCGGGGCAGGGUGAGUCGACCCCUAAGGCGAGGCCGAAAGGCGUAGUCGAUGGGAAACAGGUUAAUAUUCCUGUACUUGGUGUUACUGCGAAGGGGGGACGGAGAAGGCUAUGUUGGCCGGGCGACGGUUGUCCCGGUUUAAGCGUGUAGGCUGGUUUUCCAGGCAAAUCCGGAAAACUAAGGCUGAGGCGUGAUGACGAGGCACUACGGUGCUGAAGCAACAAAUGCCCUGCUUCCAGGAAAAGCCUCUAAGCAUCAGGUAACAUCAAAUCGUACCCCAAACCGACACAGGUGGUCAGGUAGAGAAUACCAAGGCGCUUGAGAGAACUCGGGUGAAGGAACUAGGCAAAAUGGUGCCGUAACUUCGGGAGAAGGCACGCUGAUAUGUAGGUGAAGUCCCUCGCGGAUGGAGCUGAAAUCAGUCGAAGAUACCAGCUGGCUGCAACUGUUUAUUAAAAACACAGCACUGUGCAAACACGAAAGUGGACGUAUACGGUGUGACGCCUGCCCGGUGCCGGAAGGUUAAUUGAUGGGGUCAGCGCAAGCGAAGCUCUUGAUCGAAGCCCCGGUAAACGGCGGCCGUAACUAUAACGGUCCUAAGGUAGCGAAAUUCCUUGUCGGGUAAGUUCCGACCUGCACGAAUGGCGUAAUGAUGGCCAGGCUGUCUCCACCCGAGACUCAGUGAAAUUGAACUCGCUGUGAAGAUGCAGUGUACCCGCGGCAAGACGGAAAGACCCCGUGAACCUUUACUAUAGCUUGACACUGAACAUUGAGCCUUGAUGUGUAGGAUAGGUGGGAGGCUUUGAAGUGUGGACGCCAGUCUGCAUGGAGCCGACCUUGAAAUACCACCCUUUAAUGUUUGAUGUUCUAACGUUGACCCGUAAUCCGGGUUGCGGACAGUGUCUGGUGGGUAGUUUGACUGGGGCGGUCUCCUCCUAAAGAGUAACGGAGGAGCACGAAGGUUGGCUAAUCCUGGUCGGACAUCAGGAGGUUAGUGCAAUGGCAUAAGCCAGCUUGACUGCGAGCGUGACGGCGCGAGCAGGUGCGAAAGCAGGUCAUAGUGAUCCGGUGGUUCUGAAUGGAAGGGCCAUCGCUCAACGGAUAAAAGGUACUCCGGGGAUAACAGGCUGAUACCGCCCAAGAGUUCAUAUCGACGGCGGUGUUUGGCACCUCGAUGUCGGCUCAUCACAUCCUGGGGCUGAAGUAGGUCCCAAGGGUAUGGCUGUUCGCCAUUUAAAGUGGUACGCGAGCUGGGUUUAGAACGUCGUGAGACAGUUCGGUCCCUAUCUGCCGUGGGCGCUGGAGAACUGAGGGGGGCUGCUCCUAGUACGAGAGGACCGGAGUGGACGCAUCACUGGUGUUC